GUUCUCCCCGGACCCCCAGGCUCCACCCCCAGCACCUCCCACCUCCCGCGCCUCCGCAUCUACGCGUCCCCGGCCACUGGGCCCGGGUCGCACUUCACGUCCACUCGCUUGCCAGCGGCCACGAAGCCUGAGGAAGUCCGCAGGGGUGCGGGAGCUGAGUUAAUUCACUGGAAGGCGGUUCACGGCCUGAGUGCAGCUGCGGGGUGCAGAUCGCCCCAUUCCGACUCGAGAACUCCAGGAGGGGCGACGAGAUUUGCAGCCACCUCCGCGGAGGAUGGAGCAGCCCCGCCCCCCGCAGCGCCGCCGCCGCGGCCGGAUCGAUUAGGCUGGAGG